CCCUACGGGGGGCAGCAGUGGGGGAUAUUGCACAAUGGGGGGAACCCUGAUGCAGCGACGCCGCGUGGGUGAAGAAGCGCCUCGGCGCGUAAAGCCCUGUCAGCAGGGAAGAGAAUGACGGUACCUGAAGAAGAAGCCCCGGCUAACUACGUGCCAGCAGCCGCGGUAAUACGUAGGGGGCAAGCGUUAUCCGGAUUUACUGGGUGUAAAGGGGGCGCAGACGGCGAUGCAAGCCAGGAGUGAAAGCCCGGGGCCCAACCCCGGGACUGCUCUUGGAACUGCGGGGCUGGAGUGCAGGAGGGGCG
rnacentral:rRNA from 1 species